rnacentral:rRNA from 1 species
ACGGGUGCGGAACACGUACGCAACCUUCCUUUAAGCGGGGAAUAGCCCAGAGAAAUUUGGAUUAAUACCCCAUAAGAAUGUGAAAUGGCAUCAUUCAGCAUUUAAAGAUUUAUCACUUAAAGAUGGGCGUGCGUCUGAUUAGGUAGUUGGUGAGGUAACGGCUCACCAAGCCGACGAUCAGUAACUGGCGUGAGAGCGCGACCAGUCACACGGGCACUGAGACACGGGCCCGACUCCUACGGGAGGCAGCAGUAAGGAAUAUUGGUCAAUGGACGGAAGUCUGAACCAGCCAUGCCGCGUGGAGGAUGAAGGCCCUCUGGGUUGUAAACUUCUUUUAUCUGGGACGAAACACUUCUUUUCUAAGGAGCUUGACGGUACCAGGUGAAUAAGCACCGGCUAACUCCGUGCCAGCAGCCGCGGUAAUACGGAGGGUGCAAGCGUUAUCCGGAUUCACUGGGUUUAAAGGGUGCGUAGGCGGACAUGUAAGUCCGUGGUGAAAUCUCCGAGCUUAACUCGGAAACUGCCAUGGAUACUAUAUGUCUUGAAUGUUGUGGAGGUUA